UGGCGGCGUGGAUAAGACAUGCAAGUCGAACGGGAGAAUUGCUAGCUUGCUAAUAAUUCUCUAGUGGCGCACGGGUGAGUAACACGUGAGUAACCUGCCUCUUAGUGGGGGAUAGCCCUGGGAAACCGGGAUUAAUACCGCAUACGAUUGAAAGAUCAAAGCAGCAAUGCGCUAGGAGAUGGGCUCGCGGCCUAUUAGUUAGUUGGUGAGGUAACGGCUCACCAAGGCGAUGACGGGUAGCCGGUCUGAGAGGAUGUCCGGCCACACUGGAACUGAGACACGGUCCAGACACCUACGGGUGGCAGCAGUCGAGAAUCAUUCACAAUGGGGGCAACCCUGAUGGUGCGACGCCGCGUGGGGGAAUGAAGGUCUUCGGAUUGUAAACCCCUGUCAUGUGGGAGCAAAUUAAAAAGAUAGUACCACAAGAGGAAGAGACGGCUAACUCUGUGCCAGCAGCCGCGGUAAUACAGAGGUCUCAAGCGUUGUUCGGAAUCACUGGGCGUAAAGCGUGCGUAGGCUGUUUCGUAAGUCGUGUGUGAAAGGCAGGGGCUCAACCCCUGGAUUGCACAUGAUACUGCGAGACUAGAGUAAUGGAGGGGGAACCGGAAUUCACGGUGUAGCA
rnacentral:rRNA from 1 species